CGUGGUAGUGCAAUAUGAAGCACGCAGGCAAGUCACAGAAGAACUCCACAAAUUUUCCUUGAAACGUGAAUAACUACAAGACUUGUCACCACUCCUUUUGCUCCAAGUUGCUUUGCUUCAAACUUUUGAAAUUCAAAUGCAAUGAAGUUUUGAAUGUCAUAACCAACAUUCACACAUGCAACACAUUUGCAAUCACAACAAUCCUUCCAUUUUUUUUCUACACCAUCAACAUUCAGCCUUCAGUGUUGUUGAGACGUUAAGCUGAGACAUGAGAAGGCGAAGGCAACCAAAAACCCUAAUCCCACUUCGCUUAAUUUCGCGGCACAAACCAGACUCAGACGAAAGCAUUUCUGAUGAAGACGACGCCGUUUUCCCCAACAAUGCGCUUUCCUCAGACACCAUCCACAAGCAAGAAUUGCCUCUUGCUGUGCGGCUCGAUAUUCUAAAAGGAAUCAGUGAUCGGAAUUUGUCUGCGAAAGGCACCAGUUCUUCAUUUGAGAAACCGCUUGAAGAUGAGGUUGAGAUGCCUGACUUCAACGAGGGAGAGGUUGUUGCCAAUUCAACUGAUGAAGAAAACAAUUCUGCAGACAGGGAUAACACUGCCGUAACAGCCCUGCAGCUUCGCAAGUAUGGUCCACAAUCUAUCAGAAACAAACACAUUAGAGAUAUGACCAGAAUUUCUGAAGCAUCGCUACAUUACAAAGGAAGCGUCUCAGGAUCUCAUGUGACCUGCCCCAAAGCAAAUAUAUCUGGGUCACGUAAAUGUGGGGGCAUUGGUCCUUCAGUCCCCCAGAUCGACAGCUUGCCUGAAAUUUUGAAAGCGGUUGAUCCUAGGAGUUCUGGAAAUUUAGAGGAAAAUCAUCUUGAAGAUGACGACAAAAUUGAAGUAAAUUCAGACACUGAGCCUGAUGAAACAGAAGUUUUUCCGCAUGAGUUUAAUCUCACCUCAGUGAAUGGGGUCUUUAAUAACCUCCAAGAUAAAGCCAAUCAGCUUUUGCAGAAAAGUAGUAGACCCCACUUAAAAGAGACAGCUGUUGACAGUGAAGAUUUCUCAGAGCCCGUGGAAAGUGGAUCAUCAAGUGACAAUGAGGCAAGUUAUCAACAAAUAAAAAAUGCCUUCCCUGUAAAGAAAAUGCAGUCCAUGACAGAGCUAUUUCUGGAAGCUCUUGGGACAUCCUCUGUUAUUAUUGAAGGGAUUCAUGUUGGAGCUCAUAAUUCAUUGAGUGAUGGAUUAUCUGGAAAACUACAGCAGAUGAUGCUAAAAGAAAAAGAAACAGACAUGGACUUCUGGAAAAAGUUAAAAACUGGAGCUAGGCCAGAUAGUGAACUUGGCUGCUUUGAUGUAAAAAUCCUUUCAAGAUACCACGAAGGAAAGCUGACUGUUUGUCACUGCUCAUUUGGCAAGUGCAGAGAGGUGAGGCCAAAUUGUGGUAGGUCUUUGAAGGUCUAUUAUAGAAACUGGAUCAGAAACAUACGAAGGAUGAGGUUUACAGAAAGGCUGAAUAGUGUAUAUUUCCAAAGUGGAAGAUAUUACAGAAAUGAAUAACCCUUGUUCUUCAACGGAUCAGUAUCCUCCCAACAUAUAUGUUGAUCUUGUCAUGGGGAGGACGAUUGGAACUGAUAAGGAAUAGGGGGGUUGUAUUGUUUUAACAACUUGGGAACUAAAGAUAGUAUUACUGCCCAUACAGCACCAAAGUUUCCUCUCUGCCAUUGAUACAAUUAGAGUCCCUACUUCAGUUGAGGAAACAUUAAUGUUGUUUUUGGUGCAUGAGAUGGAUUUGUGCAGAUGGAUGCAAAGCCAAGAAAUGAAGAGAAUGCACGAAAAGCGAUGAACAAAAAGAAUUUUCUGUUACAAGAUAAUUCUGAAGGAAUGGGGUUUGGUGGCAGCAAAAGCAGCCAAAGAACCAUUAUCUUUAGCCCAAGGGUUUGCAACAAUGUUGACCUUGUAGUUGGGAAUGUGAUCCGAAUUCACCCUCCAUGGAAGGAAGUUCAAGUGGGAAAUG